AUUAAUCUUUCUAUGCUCAGAUGUUUUACUCACAAAGGUCAUCUAUUGUUUGUUUAAACUCACUUUUCUAAUUUUAGAAACACAAGAAAUAAGAAGACCAUUUGAGAAGAGCAGAUAGUUGCCUUAAGAAAAUCUCCAUUCAUCUGUACUCUGGGAUUUGGACUCAAAUCGUAAUUAUACAGUCUUCUGUGAUGUCUUAUGAGAUGCCUGUGUGAACUAACCAAGCCAUUCUGACAUAAGCACAAAGGGGUACAAGGAGUCAACUCCUCAUAGCGUGAUCCUUGACAAACAACAGAUGUGAGAAAAUGGCUAAAUACAGCCUUCUUCCAUCCUGAAGGUGAGCAAAUUAGAAUUCAUUUUAUGCACUUCAGAGGGUCCCCAGCAAAACAGAGUCCCAGAUAC
rnacentral:lncRNA from 1 species